GAAAUCGGCGCUAAUACCUCAUAAUGCAGCGGAUCCGCAUGGAUAUGUUGUUAAAGGUUUACCGCCUUGGGAUAGGCUUGCGUCUGAUUAGUUAGUUGGUGUGGUAACGGCACACCAAGGCUACGAUCAGUAACUGGUCUGAGAGGAUGAUCAGUCACACUGGAACUGAGACACGGUCCAGACUCCUACGGGAGGCAGCAGUGAGGAAUAUUGGGCAAUGCUCGAAAGAGUGACCCAGCAACGCCGCGUGGAGGAUGAAGGUAUUCUAUAUCCGUAAACUCCUGUGAGAGCAGACGAAAGACAGAUUAUUAAUCUGGAUGACUGUAUGCUCAGAGGAAGCCCCGGCUAACUACGUG
rnacentral:rRNA from 1 species